rnacentral:rRNA from 1 species
GCCGUGGCGGCGUGCUAUACAUGCAGUCGACGCACAGCGAAAGGUGCUUGCACCUUUCAAGUGAGUGGCGAACGGGUGAGUAACACGUGGACAACCUGCCUCAAGGCUGGGGAUAACAUUUGGAAACAGAUGCUAAUACCGAAUAAAACUUAGUGUCGCAUGACACAAAGUUAAAAGGCGCUUCGGCGUCACCUAGAGAUGGAUCCGCGGUGCAUUAGUUAGUUGGUGGGGUAAAGGCCUACCAAGACAAUGAUGCAUAGCCGAGUUGAGAGACUGAUCGGCCACAUUGGGACUGAGACACGGCCCAAACUCCUACGGGAGGCUGCAGUAGGGAAUCUUCCACAAUGGGCGAAAGCCUGAUGGAGCAACGCCGCGUGUGUGAUGAAGGCUUUCGGGUCGUAAAGCACUGUUGUAUGGGAAGAACAGCUAGAAUAGGAAAUGAUUUUAGUUUGACGGUACCAUACCAGAAAGGGACGGCUAAAUACGUGCCAGCAGCCGCGGUAAUACGUAUGUCCCGAGCGUUAUCCGGAUUUAUUGGGCGUAAAGCGAGCGCAGACGGUUUAUUAAGUCUGAUGUGAAAGCCCGGAGCUCAACUCCGGAAUGGCAUUGGAAACUGGUUAACUUGAGUGCAGUAGAGGUAAGUGGAACUCCAUGUGUAGCGGUGGAAUGCGUAGAUAUAUGGAAGAACACCAGUGGCGAAGGCGGCUUACUGGACUGCAACUGACGUUGAGGCUCGAAAGUGUGGGUAGCAAACAGGAUUAGAUACCCUGGUAGUCCACACCGUAAACGAUGAACACUAGGUGUUAGGAGGUUUCCGCCUCUUAGUGCCGAAGCUAACGCAUUAAGUGUUCCGCCUGGGGAGUACGACCGCAAGGUUGAAACUCAAAGGAAUUGACGGGGACCCGCACAAGCGGUGGAGCAUGUGGUUUAAUUCGAAGCAACGCGAAGAACCUUACCAGGUCUUGACAUCCUUUGAAGCUUUUAGAGAUAGAAGUGUUCUCUUCGGAGACAAAGUGACAGGUGUGCAUGGUCGUCGUCAGCUCGUGUCGUGAGAUGUUGGGUUAAGUCCCCGCAACGAGCGCA